UCUGAACACCUGAGGACCAAAGCAUCAUGGGUAGGCUGGAUGAUGCAGCAAAGCGCAAGGUGGUGGAGCUGCGGCAGGCGGGCUUGAGCUUCCGUAAGAUCAAGGCCGUCCUGGAGCUGGAGAACAUCAAAGUGUCUGCACAGGCCAUCUACCUCUUUCUGAAAGAGUUCCAGGGCAGGGCCCGGGCAGGAGAUGGCCCGGUUGGGGGUGCUGCUGGAGGAAGUCGGGACGGCGAUGGUGGCGCUGGGAGGAAUGCCUCCUGGAGGGACCACCAGCUGAAGACCCUCCUGAGAGAGGCAUCACGCGUGGCAGGAUACGGCACUUCUGAGACCACAGGCGCACUCUCAGAGGGAACGGCGCUCAUGGGGAUCCCAGGGGUUACCGGUGGGCUCGGCAGACAUGAGGAGGAGGACAAGAGAACGGACGAGGCCGAGGAGGAGGACGUUCGCAUCGUCAGCGUCAUGUCGCUGGCCCCGGGAGUCCAGGGCACCCAGCAAGCUGUUGGGGUUCAGCGGGGCGGUGCAGGAAUGACACCAGGGGCUGUUGCUGGGGGGUUCAUUCGGAGAAGGCUCACCCCCUCCCCGGCCACCAACCCAGUUCUGGUUGCACGUAAGAGACUGUUGGACAAGGCCCUGCAGCACAGAGCCAGGAUCAGAGAGAGCGCUCCUUCCCCCGGCCAACAGAUGGCGUCAGUGCUGCGGCGGGACCAGCCGUGGAGACAGGUCACGUCAUCGCAGCCGACUUCUUCCAUCGACCUGACAGGCAUCAGACCCCCUCAGGCAAGAGCUAUGGAUGGGCAGCUGAGUGGCAGCCUGGCCAGAAGGACAUUCCAACAGAGGGCAGCGGGGCCUGUCCGCAACGUGAACCCAACCGCCCGCGUGGGAAUAAGACUUCCGAGCCCCACUGCCCCCUCCUCCACCGCCACCGCCCAGGGCUCCAGCCCCACUCCUCUCCAGGCCGGGCCGCCUGGGGCUCAGCAGAUGAGAGAGCCCUCUCCCCCGUUCCUGCCAGCGGCGCUGGGCGAGCAGCUGCAGGCUCUGGGCACGGAGAUGCGGAGUCUGGGUCUGGCCGUCAGGAUGCUGCUGGAGCAGCAGUGUCGGCUGGAGCGCGAGCAGACGCAGGUGCAGAAGCAGAUCCUCGGCACGCUGCAAGACCUGGCGUCCAGCGUCCGAGCCGCCACCGCCCGCACCCCACCCGCCUCCUACAGUUCACCCCAGGGCGGCGGAGGGCAGCCUCGCUUCGCCGAGAUGAACGGCUCCGGCUUCGAGGGCCUGGAGGUUUUUCCCCUUCCUGGGCUGGAUCCCGGAGGGGUGAAUGGACUCGGCAGCUCAGAGAGCAUCCACCUGUCUCACACACACACCCCACCGACCUACAUGCCACCACACUCUCAGAGCCAGCCUCACACUGUGCUGCACUCAGAACCCCACACAGAAGCCUUCAUGGAAAGGAAGCUGGUGGAAUUCCAAGCCGGAGGGAUCGACAGGGCUCCCCUAAACUGUUCUUCCUCCGCACCCACCCUUUCCUCCUCUGAACCACAGCUCAACAUUAUCAAAGUGGAGAGUGUCUGAUGAUGGCAUCAUAUUUUGCUGACUUGUUACCGCCUCAAAAAGCCUUUACUGGAUAAGCACCAAUAAUCGAUGUAUAAUCGAUGUAUCUUUUAACGCUCAGUGGCUUUAUCUGCUCCUAGUAAAGGCGGGCCAGGCUUUAUUUAUGUCAUCUCAUCUUUCCUCUCAGCCUCCGGCGUCGGGAACUAUGACCACAUUCACACUGCAGGACAAUUCUGCAAAGGCAGCAAAAAUCCGAUUCAAGAGAGGUUUAUUUUCAACACGACCGCGUACGCACCACAGUGCAUUUAUAAAAAAAUAUAAAGAGACUGCACAUAAUUAUGAAUUUAGGAAGAGUUUCACUAAAAUCAAACUAAAUACCUAUAAAACUGUACACUGAACAGCGCCAGCAUCAGGUAGUACGCUUCGUAUUGACCACAUUAAAAUCAUAUCUGAGCAGAAAAUUGAGCAUUAAGGCCAGUUGUUUGAAAGUAGUCUGUGUCAAAAGCAUUUGUUUUUUUUUUUUUGUUUUUUUUUUUUAAAUCAUGCUGUUUUAAACCCCGUGACUGAAAUAUUAUCCACAGGUGAGGCUUUGAAGGAAGAAUUAAAGCUUUAUCAACAGUAAUAACUGAACUGUGGCUGAGUGGAGCCUGUUUUGUUGUCAGACUGCGUCAGAGUGGACCUUUAUAUUUCACUGGCAUGCCUACUGUGCGUAACUAUGGUCUGUUUACUGUGCGAUGUGGAAAUGCAAUUUGAUUUCUGUGCUGUAUUAAUGCUCAUCUUGUUCCGUCAUACUGAUCAUGUGAAAACCCUAGUCAGAUCUCUGUGUUGCGUAUGUGAAGAUGAAAGUCCAAUCAGCAGAGCUCUGGGAAUCCUGGUUUUGUUUGGGUUAUGUUUUUUUUUUCCAUACUUCACAGCUGAGAUUUUAGACAUUUUAUAGAAACCCUGGCAUAGAAUGGUCACCAUAACUCCGAAAACAUGUCCACCAACAGGUGGCGCUAUAAUAAGCAUAUUGAUGUUUUGGCUUUUAGUUCAGGAACCAUAUGGGAAAAUGCACAUGGCCAUUUCCACCCAAUAUUCUGACCUGUAACUACUCUUUAAUUUCUGCACAAUAAAAUAUUUUGGAACCCUGCA
rnacentral:lncRNA from 1 species